rnacentral:rRNA from 1 species
AGUGAACGCUGGCGGUAGGCCUAACACAUGCAAGUCGAACGGCAGCACCGUAAGAGCUUGCUCUUACGGGUGGCGAGUGGCGGACGGGUGAGGUAUACAUCGGACUCUACUUUUUCGUGGGGGAUAACGUAGGGAAACUUACGCUAUUACCGCAUACGCCCUACGGGUGAAAGCAGGGGAUCUUCUGGCCUUUCGCGGUUGAAUGAGCCGAUGUCGGAUUAGCUAGUUGGCGGGGUAAAGACCCACCAAGGCGACGAUCCGUAGCUGGUCAGAGAGGAUGAUCAGCCACCCUGGAGCUGAGACAGGGUCCAGACUCCUACGGGACGCAGCAGUGGGGAAUAUUGGACAGUGGGCGCAAGCCUGAUCCAGCCAUGCCGCGUGUGUGAAGAAGGCCUUCGGGUUGUAAAGCCCUUUUGUUGGGAAAGAAAAGCAGCAGGUUAAUACCCCGCGGGUCUGACGGUACCCAAAGAAUAAGCACCGGCUAACUUCGUG